GGUUCCACAGUGUAGUGGUUAGCAUGUCUGCUUUACACGCAGAAGGUCCUAAGUUCACACUCCAGUAGAGCCA
rnacentral:tRNA from 1 species